rnacentral:tRNA from 1 species
GCCCCCGUGGCGGAAUUGGUAGACGCGACAGACUCAAAAUCUGUUUUCCGCAAGGAAGUGUCCGUUCGAGUCGGACCGGGGGCACCA